UGGACAGAUCAGACAUGAACAAGAGGCAGCAUCACCAGGUCACGGACUGGAAGGAAAUCCAUGACAUCAGAGGUGCCAAAGUCUUUGCAGACCUGACCUGUAAUGGAGCUCCCCUGAGAUACCAAGAGCCUCUUUCAUAAACAGUAAGCCACGUCUCGCUGGAGCUGAAGGAUGGGAGAAUACAUCAUGAAUCCUGCAAAGGGGAGAGGCUUGAAGUCUGCUGGGCCGGGGUCUCGCCCAGCUCCCUUCCAGCCCCACUGCAACAUGAGUGUGGCCUCCCAAGAUGGAGACAGGAAGAAGCCAGGCAGCCCAUUGUAGCUACCUUGGGCAGGAGCUAGAUGAGAAAGGAAAUGAGCUACGAGCGCAAACUUUGGAGCUGGAUUUAUACCCUGCACACUCACCAGCCAUGUGACCCAGGGAAGCCCCCCAAAGGGAAGCGAAGGGGGCGCCUUCGGAGGAAACUUAACAGCUGGAAGUGACCGCAGCACACAGCUGUGACCA